rnacentral:lncRNA from 1 species
AUGGGGGGUUGUGGGUUGGGGGUAUCACUCAAGGCUUUGUCCAACUCACUCAGCCUGUCUUGGCCUUAGCUUUCCUCUGUCCCUCUAAGUAGCAUUCCCCAUGGCACUCUUCAUCAGCCUGUACUAAGAUCUCUGCCUUCCUGAAGCAAUCAUUGCUCACCUGCAAUUCAGCAGUGCCAGGCACAGACCAGGACAGAAAAGGGGAAAAACCAGGCCAGCCAAGUCCAGCCCGUUGCCCAGUGGGGCGGCCCUUCUCUUUGGAGAGCACCUCCCCACCCCGUCCCUCCUCCUCCACCCUUGACUGCCACUUACUGCUAGGCAGGCCAAGCGUGAAAGCGCUCAGACCCGGCAUUGCGUGGAGAAGGAAAUCUCUGUUCUUCGGGCAAACCCUGUCCAGCCUUUCGGGAUGCCCCUGAGAAGCCAUGCUGAGCCCCAGGAGGUGAAGGCCCAGUCCCUUUCCCACACACCCUGGCCUGGGGGUGUCUUAAAAUCCCAGCACUCCUAAUCCAUUUGGCUCAGAUACAUUUUCUUUUCCUUUUUUUUUUUUUGUUUGAGACAGGGCCUCACUCUGUCACUCAGCCUGGAAUGCAGCGAUACAAUCACGGCUCACCAAAGCCUCGACCUCCCAGGCUCAGGUGAUCCUCCCACCUCAGCCUCCCAAGUAGCCGGGACUACAAGCUCGUGCCACCGUGCUCAGCUAUUUGUUAUUUAUUUAUUUUUUUUUUAGUAGAGACAGGACCUCACUAUGGCGCCCAGCCUGGUUUGGAACUCCUGGGCUCAAGUGAUCUGCCCGCCUAGGUAAACCACUGAGAUUAUAGGCAUGAGCCCCCAUGCCUGGCCUGAUAUGUUUUCUUAAAAAGACAAAUUCCAAUUCCAUAGGAUCCCAGGCAGCUUUUGACACUAAUGUUUCCAUGGCCUUUUUUAAAGCUUCGGAUAUUCAUUAGAGAGCGAACAUGUUAAGAUGCUAACCAUAGGGCCUGGCUCUGCCCUGCGUAUUUGUCUCCCUCCCACUUCUUUAUACCGUUCUAAACUUUCCAAUCUUUCCACAGAUGACAUAUAUUACUUUCAUAGUAAAAAUAAAUAAACAAACAAACACAAAAGAUUAAUUCAUGGGCCCGCUCAGCACCCUAUUUAAAUCCUUAUCAAAGUGGAGCAUUUGGGAGGCCGAGGAGGGCGGAUCACCUGAGGUCAGGAGUUCAAGACCAGCCUGGCCAACAUGGAGAAACCCAGUCUCUACUAAAAAUACAAAAAAACAGUCGGGUAUGGUGGUGCAUGCCUGUGAUCCCAGCUACUCAGGAGGCCGAGGCAGGAGAAUCACUUGAACCCAGGAAGUGGCGGUUGCGGGGAGCGGAGAUCACGCCACUGCACUUCAGGCUGGCGGUUGCGAGGAGCGGAGAUCACGCCACUGCACUUCAGGCUGGGCCACAGAGUGAGAUUCUGUCUCAAAAAAAAAAAAAAAAAAAA